ensembl:lncRNA
GCUGUGGUUUACAAAUACGUUUAAUCAGAAACCAGUCAGGCUGAAGAUAAGCUAACUGCUGUAAUUCUGUCUUAAAGGUUACUGGCCCUUUUCUUACUGAUCUCUUUGAACCACAAAUGGUUUCCUAAAGCUAAGCAAUGCAAACAGACGUGCUUCAGGAAGAAUGGCCUGAGAACUGUGAGCAGAAAGAACAUGAAGAAGGAUCAGCUCCCGGCAGUGCCAAUGGUGACCUGUUACGCCCAGGAUGCAGAGACCUGCUCCCAUCCGGACAAGAAGAAAGAGCCAGGUAAACUACAGAGUCACAAAUUUUCCUGGAUUUCCAAGGAGUUGAGGUUGUAAGACAACUGAAUAAACUAUAACCCAAAGGAAGAGAGGCCA